rnacentral:misc_RNA from 1 species
AGAAAUUUUUGAAGCAUCUGUAGAGAAUAUACUGGUUCAUAAUAAGCUUGCUUUGUGUCUUUCUUGGACGCAAAUAGUAAUAAGAAAAAAAGAACCCUCUCUCAUCUCAACCACUAUAAACUCAGCUCCUUUCAUACCUAAAUGUCAACAAAACCACAAAAUUUCCAAUGGGAAUCCCGCGGCUUAAAUGAAAAGAAUUUUACAAUCAAUAGCAGCCUUAACCUUUAUAUAAUUAUCGUCAUCGCUGCAGGCUUCCUCCUCGCCCUCUUCUUCUUCUUCACCGAAUGGAUCUACCACCGGUUCCUACACCGCCACUUGCCCUCCAAUACACUAUCCACAAGCACAUCUCCUCCUCAGCCUCAAGGCCUCCAACCCACCAGCAUCCAAGCUUUACCAACCAUAUUCUAUGAUUCAUCCACGAUUGCAGACUGGUGGUGCUGUAGUGGAAACUGAGUGCAGUCUAUGUCUUGCUGCAUAUGAAAAUGGUGAUAAACUUAAGGUAUUGCCUCAGUGCCUCCAUUAUUUCAAUGGCGAAUGUGUUGAUACGUGGCUUCACUCUUGGGCCGCUUGUCCUCUUUGCAGAGCUUCCCUCCUGGACAGCUCAGCUGCUGCGCCUACCUCAGACUAAAACUAGCAAGAAACUGGCUCUUGGGUUCUCAUCAAGACAAGCGCAGCUUCUUUCUUUCUAUAACAGCAGGAGCAAUUGUUUGAUGGUUGAUCACACAUGCACAGAAGCCAAUAAUAAGGAAGGAGCAAGCUUCUUGAUUGGGUUCUUGAAACAAUGGAAGGAGAACAAAGAUAAGCCUUUUGGCCCCCAGCAGUCUUCUCGGAUAUGUCUCCAGCUGCAUCUCUGUGCCCAUCACUCGAGUAUCUACCUGACUACCUCCUGCGUGCUACUACAUAUGGUAUUAGUGGAUUCUUUGGUUUCUUGAUCUUCUCAGAUAUCUCAAAGAUUUAUUUAUUUAUUUAUCUA